AUUCUUUUGUAGUUCAUAAGCAUGAUGAUUGGGUUUUCACAUGCAUUUGUGAGAUGUGCCUCCCUCCAAUCUUGUUACCACAUUGGCAUAUUACCCAUCUGAUG
ensembl:snoRNA